UUUACUAUUUUUUAUCCUUUCAUCUAAACAGGAAAUAUUUUUGCCCAAAAAGUACACCGACCCCGUGUCCAACUUUCAUCACUUAAACGCUCCAGUCAGAUUUAAGCUUUGUGUGCAAAAGGGAUUGAUUUACAAUCAUAGCAAUCAAACGAGUUAAAACGACAGGUAUUGAUGGAAAAUGAUCUGGCGAGUUUAAUAACGGCGAAUUAAGCUUUCUCAUUCCUUUAUUGCAUCACGUUAGCUCACACGAAUUAUUAUUUUGAUGAAACAGAAUUUGGCUUCUUACGUCGAUUUUCCUUAAUUCUCUCGAUAAUGUUAUAGAGAAAGGAUAAAUGUGUCAACUCCUCUCUUGCUGCGCAAAACAUUUUUGGGGAUGGUUUUUAGGCCUUGUCCGUGUGUUUCGAGUGGUCAUUGAUCUGGAAAUGUUAUCUCAACCUGGCAACACUAGAAAGAAGCAUACUGCAUAAUUGUUGUUUACAAAGGCUGUGGAGUAGACGCUAGCCUAGGCUAAUCAGACAGAGGUUUCAACCAACAUUUCUUUGAUAAAACGAACAGCUAGACUUUCAUAACCAUCGCCAAUAUGUCAAAACUACAGUUGUUUAAUGUGUUCGUCACCGAGCGCUUGCCGGGAGCUGCUGUGGAGAUAUUCGUGGCCGUGGAGAAGAUUAUAGCAGAGUAUCAGCAAGAAAUAUGCUGUACAGCAGAGGAGAUCGAGCGCCUACGGAGGCUGUUGGACAUGGUUUUCCAACCAGAGAUUAAGUUACACGGAGCAGGAUAUAACGACUGCCCCCACCCAUGGAAGCCACGAAGUUCGUUUCCCUGUGCUUGACAUACGCAGUUUCAGCCAGGAUAGCAUGAAGUACAAAGACUGCACCGUUUUCCACCUGCAUCUCCAUCCCGAAUCUCCCCAUUGCCCCCCAGCAACAUUAUCCUUCAUUUAGGCCAUUGCUUAUAUGUGUAUGUCACACUAUGUUGAGGUAAAGAUCGGAGUAUAAUGCUGUAUAGAUGUCAACCCCAAUACAUGUUCAUGACAUCGUCAUCAAUCAACUGCAUUACAGUUAACAAAACUACUGGCCACCACCACCUAUUUCUAUAUGCUAACUAUGCUACCAGUUUAUACGAAUGGGAGUUAUCAUUUAGCAGUCACUUUUUCCCGAACCUGAAAAGUGACAACUGAUACAUUUUAUGCAGUGAAAACACCCAAAUAUAUCCAAAUCUUAUUUUAGUAACCACAUUGUGGGCCAAAUAUCCACUCUGUUAGAUCAGAUUUGUUGAAUGUACGCCAAUCCAGCGUCCUAUCCCCCACGGUCUGCUACCAUUGACCUCUUUACCACAUCUAUCCCAAUGACAUAUAUACACUGCUCAGAAAAAUAAAGGGAACACUAAAAUAACACAUCCUUGGUCGGAAUGAAUGAAAUAUUCUUAUUAAAUACUUUUUUCUUUACAUAGCUGAAUGUGCUGACAACAAAAUCACACAAAAAUGAUCAAUGGAAAUCAAAUGUAUCAACCCAUGGAGGUCUGGAUUUGGAGUCACACUCAAAAUGAAAGUGGAAAACCACACUACAGGCUGAUCCAACUUUGAUGUAAUGUCCUUAAAACAAGUCAAAAUGAGGCUCAGUAGUGUGUGUGGCCUCCACGUGCCUGUAUGACCUCCUUACAAUGCCUGGGCAUGCUCCUGAUGAGGUGGCGAAUGGUCUCCUGAGGGAUCUCCUCCCAGACCUGGACUAAAGCAUCCGCCAACUCCUGGACAGUCUAUGGUGCAACGUGGCGUUGGUGGAUGGAGCGAGACAUGUUGUCCCAGAUGUGCUCAAUUGGAUUCAGGUCUGGGGAACGGGCGGGCCAGUCCAUAGCAUCAAUGCCUUCCUCUUGCAGGAACUGCUGACACACUCCAGCCACAUGAGGUCUAGCAUUGUCUUGCAUUAGGAGGAACCCAGGGCCAACCGCACCAGCAUAUGGUCUCACAAGGGGUCUGAGGAUCUCAUCUCGGUACCUAAUGGCAGUCAGGCUACCUCUGGCGAGCACAUGGAGGGCUGUGCGGCCCCCCCAAAGAAAUGCCACCCCACAUCAUGACUGACCCACCGCCAAACCGGUCAUGCUGGAGGAUGUUGCAGGAAGCAGAACGUUCUCCACGGCGUCUCCAGACUCUGUCACGUCUGUCAGAUGUGCUCAGUGUGAACCUGCUUUCAUCUGUGAAGAGCACAGGGCGCCAGUGGCCAAUUUGCCAAUCUUGGUGUUCUCUGGCAAAUGCCAAACGUCCUGCACGGUGUUGAGCUGUAAGCACAACCCCCACCUGUGGACGGCGGGCCCUCAUACCACCCUCAUAGAGUCUGUUUCUGACCGUUUGAGCAGACACAUGCACAUUUGUGGCCUGCUGGAGGUCAUUUUGCAGGGCUCUGGCAGUGCUCCUCCUGCUCCUCCUUGCACAAAAGUGGAGGUAGCGGUCCUGCUGCUGGGUUGUUGCCCUCCUACGGCCUCCUCCACGUCUCCUGAUGUACUGGCCUGUCUCCUGGUAGCGCCUCCAUGCUCUGGACACUGCGCUGACAAACCUUCUUGCCACAGCUCGCAUUGAUGUUCCAUCCUGGAUGAGCUGCACUACCUGAGCCACUUGUGUGGGUUGUAGACUCUGCCUCAUGCUACCACUAGAGUGAAAGCACCGCCAGCAUUCAAAAGUGACCAAAACAUCAGCCAGGAAGCAUAGGAACUGAGAAGUGGUCUGUGGUCACCACCUGCAGAACCACUCCUUUAUUGGGGGUGUCUUGCUAAUUGCCUAUAAUUUCCACCUGUUGUCUAUUCCAUUUGCACAACAGCAUGUGAAAUUGAUUGUCAAUCAGUGUUGCUCACUAAGUGGACAGUUUGAUUUCACAGAAGUGUGAUUGACUUGGAGUUACAUUGUGUUGUUUAAGUGUUCACUUUAUUUUUUUGAGCAUAUAUAUAUAUAUAUAUAUAUAUAUAUAUAUAUAUGCACGUGCACUUCGGGAAGCUAUAUAAAAGCAUUUAUUAAUGUCUACAUUAAUUUCUGCCACAUUUAUUCUAUUACAGGCACAUUAAUGCAAAAAUGAGCAUAAUCUUUUUUUUUGGAGGGGGGGGGGGUAUAUACAGUCAAAUGUAUUGAUAAGUCAAUUUGUCCUAGAAAGAUUUACAGUUAUCAAAACGUCACGUUAAUGUUUUUUAAAUCCCCUAUGGGAAAAAUGAAUGGUGUAAAAACGAUUGGAACCAUUUCCUUCUUCGACCUCUAGGUUUUAUGGGUAUUAUGACUCAUACUUAGGUUACUCCACAUGGCUGACCAGUGGCUUCAAAGCCUCUCAAUGGCCAAUACAUACAGUGCAUUCGGAAAGUAGUCAGACCUUGACUUUUUCCACAUUUUGUUAUGUUACAGCCUUAAUUCUAAAAUGUAUUCAAUCUUUUUUUUCUUCUCAUCAAUCUACACACUCCCCAUGACAAACAAAAACAGGUUGAUCACGUCACUGAUAUAAUUUACAUAAGUAAUAAGACCCUUUAUUCAGUACUUUGUUGAAGCACCUUUGGCAGCGAUUACAGCCUUGAGUCUUCUUGGGUAUUUUUUGUUUUAUAUUUAUUUAACCAGGUAGGCCAGUUGAGAACAAGUUCUCAUUUACAACUGCGACCUGGCCAAGAUAAAGCAAAGGAGUGCGACAAAAACAACACAGCGCCUCCACAAAACAUCCUCACAGCAUGAUGCCGACACCGCCAUGUUACCUUUAUUUAACCAGGCAAGUCAGUUAAGAACAUAUUCUUAUUUUCAAUGAUGGCCUGGGAACAGUGGGUUAACUGCCUGUUCAGGGGCAGAACGACAGAUUUGUACCUUGUCAGCUCGGGGGUUUGAACUCGCAACCUUCCGGUUACUAGUCCAACGCUCUAACCACUAGGCUACGCUGCCGCCCCAUAGGGAUGGUGCCUGGUUUCCUCUAGACGUGACGCUUGGCAUUCAGGCCAAAGAAUGGUUUCAUCAGACCAGAGAAUCGUGUUUCUCAUGGUCUGAGAGUCUUUUAGGUGCCUUUUGGAAAACUCCAAGCGGGCUGUCGUGCCUUUUUACUGAGUCGUGGCUUCCGUCUGGCCACUCUACCUUAAAGGCAUGAAUGGUGGAGUGCUGCAGAGAUGGUUGUUCUUCUGGAAGGUUCUACCAUCUCCACAGAGGAACUCUGGAACUCCCUGACCAAGGCCAUUCUCCCACGAUUGCUCAGUUUGGUGGGGCGGCCAGCACUAGGAAAAGUCUUGGUGGUUCCAAACUUCUUCCAUUUAAGAAUGUAGGCCAUUAGGUUCUUGGGGACCUUCAAUGCUGCAGAAAUGUUUUGGUACCCUUCCCCAGAUCUGUGCCUCGACACAAUCCUGUCUCGGUGCUCUACAGACAAUUCCUGUGACCUCAUGGCUUGGUUUUUUCUCUGGCAUGCACUGUCAACUGUGGGACCUCAUGUAGACAGGUGUGUUCCUUUCCAAAUCAUGUCCAAUCAAUUGAAUUUACCACCAAUCAAGUUGUAGAAACAUCUCAAGGAUGAUCAAUAAAAACAGGAUGCACCUGAGCUCAAUUUCGAGUCUCAUAGCAAAUGAUCUGAAUACUUUUAUUUUGAGUACAUUUGCUAUAAAAAAAAUUUUUUACGGUUUUUGCUUUUUCAUUAUGGGGUAUUGUGUGUAGAUUGACGAGGAAAACAAUUUAACAGAACCUGAUGGAAAGGGCUUCAGAGUACCACAACCAACCUGUGAUCAGCCCCUCUCAGUUCAUCCAGACUACUCUGCUGCAGUGGGGAACCUAUAUCAGUGUAGACAAUGUGGCAAAAACUUUACACGUAAGGGAAACUUAACCUUGCAUUUAAAAAUACACACAGGAGAGAAACCUCAUCUGUGCAAACAGUGUGGCAAAAGCUUCAUCCAGAAGGAUGAUUUGAACAGACAUACAAGGGUACACACAGGAGAGAAACCUUAUCUGUGCAAACAAUGUGGGAAAAGCUUCAUCCAGAAGCACGACUUGACCAUCCAUACAAGGAUACACACAGGAGAGAAUCCCUAUCAGUGCAAACAAUGUGGCAAAAUGUUUAACCAGAAGGGACACUUGACCAUUCAUUCAAGGAUACAUACAGGGGAGAGACCAUAUCAGUGUAAAGACUGUGACAAAGCAUUUAACCAGAAGAUAGAAUUGACAUUGCAUAUGAGAGCUCAUACAGGAGAGAGACCAUAUAUCUGCCCUGUAUGCAAGAAAGGUUACAUCACAUUAAGCUAUUUAAGAUGUCUUAAGCUAUUUAACAAAUCUUACCUAUGCAAAGAAUGUUACAAAUGCUUUGGUUAUAAACAUCGUCUAACAUCACAUAUGAACACUCAUACUAAAGGGCAUAAAUUAUAUUACUACACUGAGUGCAAUAACAGCCUGAAAUGAAAACAACAAAUUAACAUUUUGUCAUUGUGAAUUUCUUAAUACGUCCAACUUCUGAAUAAUUAUGUUCUGUUUUCUGGCAAUUGACAACAGAACAAACUGAGUAAUGUGUGUUGAGGGGAAAUCACCAGUCAGCAUCAGAUUGGUAAACUGAAUCUAGCGCUCAGUUUCAGGGACCUACCCUCCAGGACACUGCUGGCUUCAGGAAGUCCUCACCACUGUAUCUAGCACAUAGCACACACUUGGAUUUCUAAACAACAGGAGUUCCUAUUCAAUUGUUUAACAAUGACAUACAGGAUAUCUUCUAUCUGUACUGAUGGCUGCAUGUUAGCAUAUUGAAGUAGCCUAUUACAUUUUUGUUGACAAUCUAUAUAAUGCAGCAAAUAAUUUGUUUUAAUAAAGUUGUUUUUUCAA